CGGCACUUUACGUCAACACUCAGUACUGUAGCGACGUCAAUGGCCGCACUUCUUUCAAACAUUCUAUGCAAACAACUUCGAGCACUUCACGGCAUUUAUUAAGGUCCUAAGGAGCGACUCCGAAACCCCCUUAAGAGGUAGGGGGCCGCCGCGAGCCGUUCCGACGUUGGGACGGGCAGGCCGUGCCUGACCGCCUCCUCCCACUCUUCUUCCGUGGUGAGAUGACCGUGGUCCCGUAACGAGGGACACCGCCAGAGCAUGUGUUCUAAAGUGCAGAAUGGAUCUCCGCAAUCCGGACACCUGCCCCGCACGGACGCGGCGUUAGGUUGCCCUAGCUGUGAUCCACCACGGCCGCCGCAAACCGGUCGGACGAACCGUAAUGGGCGACGUCGACGAACGCGACCGAUCGUAGAUCGUCGGCGACGGAUCCGAGGAGUGCGGCCGCUCGGGCCCGGCGUGUGCCUACAUUGCGUUGCGCGUGCACGUUGCGCGGGAACGGCGAGACCGUGACGGCCUCCCGCGACCACGCGUCGAGCACGCACCGCAUUUCCCUGACGGGUUAAAGUCCAGCGCCUCCAGGAUCCGCCUCCCCGCAGGAGCUCGAGGAAGCGAGCCUGACAACCUGGACUAACUUCUGUGACCCAAGCUCAUCGAAGGUGUUGUGGACCCCCAGCUGCAUGAGCUUCUCGGUGCUGGCGCCUAUGGGGAUGCCAAGCACUUCACGGACCGUGGUAUUUUAUUCCAGUACUGUCCACAACACCACGUGAAUUUCACGAUGUCAGCAACUUCCGUGCAGUAAUGGAAUACAUUGAUUGCACACAUACGGAUCGAACGACCGCAAUGGGUACUUGUCCAUGAAUGUGCAAUCUUUUGCGUAUGCACUGUAACACCUAUGAUGAUUAUAAUAAAGAAAGAAAGUUCACUCUAAUGGAAGGGGAACGGUAAAAACACAUUAAAAAAGGCACGGCACAUGUUUCUGCUUGUGUAGCACCAGACAAUGAAUAUUCUACUGAAUUAAGAAAAAGAAGCAGCGGGUAAUUGCUCGCUUAGAAGACCGAUAAACAUGCAGUUCGAUGAAAUUUGAGAAAUAAUGAUAUUGAAGCUUCCAAGACUUUAGAAGAAAAGAAAAAGAAAAUUAAGACUGAAUCAUCGCGACGGAACAUAUCUCAAGUCGCUGUAGGAGUCGAAGACCCUAGCUAUAACGAAAUUAUUUUUGAACAGCUCCGAUAGUGUCCAUGCAACAAUGGUUGCUUGCGUACUGUCAAAUGUUCAUAUGCUGCGGCAUAAAGCUCACGGUACGGUGCGAAAACGUGCUCGGAGCGAAAGCGAUCGACAUGCAUGCAGACGCGAAGUCGGUCACCGCGAACCCGUGCGAUCGCUGCAUUGCAGCUUCAUUCUGUUAUGCUAUAUUUAGUUACACAGACAGCCAUCCCACUAUAAGAACAUAUUUCACAUAGUUUUCUCAGCGAUUGCUUACGUUUCACGCAAACCGGUUCGGUGGAAUCGAUUGCGGCGACCGCUUGCAGUGUCCCAGCUUACUGUACGUAGUAGGCAAAGAGAUAGCGUUUGUAAACAAUUCUGUGCUUUCUGUUUGUCCAACAUGAUUAUUUUAAAGGUAAAAUACUGCCAUUUCGAGAGUAGUUGCAACAUUGUUCAGGAGGGCUGCCGCGUAGUAUGUUUAUUUAGCCUUUAUUUAACGCCGACGCAUGUGAGGCGCCUCCAACAGAUGGCGACUCCGUAAAUCGUCCUCGCCAUAGAGUUUGCUACAAGAAUUUUGUAGGAAACUCUAUGGUCCUCGCCCCCAAUACCGACAUCUUUAUAGUGACGGCCCCGUCGGUGUAGUGUUGUUGUUAAAGCGACGGGCCCCGUCACCGUAGUGUGGAUGUUAAAGUACCGGGCCCCGUCACUGUAGUCACUGCCAAACUUUUAACUUUGGUGCAUCUUGACGCAUUUUCUAUUUCACACAGACACUAGACGAGUUGCAAAACAAAAUUCGUUGCAGCGCCAUCUGUACUUGCGUACAGGAAGCAGCCAGCGGCCGCCAUUGUGCAUGAAUAGUCGUGUGCGUUUCGCCCGUUCAGUACACGCGUGAUACCGGCUUGGCGUACUGAAUCGACGCUUGUGGCGAACUCAUCCCUUUUCGUGCUGUUGUUGGGCGACUGUGACCUGGAGUCAUGCCAGUUAACUGCUGUGUGCCACUGUGCACGCAGUUUGGUGGCUUUGACAAGUCUGGACAGAAGGUGUCAUACCACAGAUUCCCAAGAGACCAGGACAUAUACAAAAAGUGGAUUGCAGCCAUCAGGCGAGAUGAAGGCCCACUCUUCACAGUUUCGAAGGCCACCAGGGUCUGCUCUCUCCACUUUCUUAAGAGUGACUUUGUUGCUAAUGUUGCUAAUGGUUACCGACACUUACACCAGUCUGCUGUGCCAUCCAUAUUUUUAUUCAAGCAGCCAAAGCCAUCGAGGAAACCACCAGCUCAACGGGCACCACUUCAGAAAGUUGCAUUAUCAAAAAGGAAGUGUAACGGUAAUAUUCAAGGGCUUUUCACUACAGGACAAAAGGUAGACACCUGUAUCGAUAACCGAGCAGAUGACAAGGAAAACUCAGCAGAUGGAUGCAACAAAAAUACAUUCAGUGAAGGCACUGACGUCUUCAAUGUUGAAGAUACGGGCUCCACUUUGCUUCCUGACAAACCGCAACAGUCACCAGAAGAACCAGCCUCUGGAAGUAUUUGUGCAUGCAGAGAAAAUAUUUCUGCCCUAGAGCAGGAGCUGGCUGCAAGCAAAGCAAGCGGAGCAGAUACAGAAGCUGAAAAUCAUCACCUGAAGCUGCAAGUAAGCUCUUUAAGAAAAACUAUUGCUGACCUAGAAAAUAAACUCGCUGCAAGCAAAGCAACCGAAGCAGAAAAUCAGCGCCUGAAGCUGCAAAUAAAGGCACAAAAUAAUGAAUUAAAGCUGCUUCGCACAGAGCUUGUCACUGCACAGAAAAAUAUUGAGAAGCUGGAAGAAUUGCCUCCAUUUGGAAUUCAAAGAUUCAAGGACAACAAUGAUGACAUUGAGUUUUACACUGGACUGCCCAGCUAUAAGCACUUCUGUGCUCUCAUGAAUCUCCUUGAUUUUGGGGAAAAUGGAGAAAACAUUGCACGCAAGCGUACGAGGAGCGGGCUACGAAAUGUUGAGUAUAGUGGUCGGCGACACAAGAUUGGUAUGGAGAACCAGCUCUUUCUUGUGCUUGUUAAACUUCGAGUUGGCUUAUUUCACAGACACAUCGGCCACUUGUUCAACGUAUCCAUCAGCACAGUGUCAAGAAUUUUUUCCGCAGUGCUUGACUAUAUUUAUUUGCAGGUAACAGAAAUGACAACAUGGAUAUCACGACAAGCUAUUGAUGCUGCCAUGCCAUCUGCUUUCAAGGAAAAAUAUCCAUCAACGCGUGUCAUCUUGGAUGCCACUGAGAUUAGAUGUGAUGUGCCAACAUCUUUCGUCACGCAAUCACAAGUCUAUUCCUCGUACAAGUCUACCCAUACGUUCAAAGCACUCGUAGGCAUAUCCCCUCAUGGAGUACUGACUUUUGUUUCCGAACUAUUUACUGGGUGUACGUCUGACAGAGAGUGUGUGGAGAAGAGUGGAUUUUUAGACCUGAAGUUUGACACAGGUGACUCAGUCAUGGCUGACAAGGGAUUUAAAAUAAAAGACCUGCUACAAAGCAAGAAAGUUAUGCUGAACAUUCCACCCUUCCUCAUGCAUGGGCAAUUUACUCCCGCCGAAGUGGAGGAGACUCAAGAAAUUGCAGCUAUCAGGAUACAUGUGGAGAGGAAGAUCAAGAAAAUCAAGGGAUAUCACAUUUUUGACCGGUCGAUUCCAAUCUCCCUUGUACCCUUAGCGAAUCAGAUGUGGGCCGUGUGUGCCUUCCUUACAAACUUCCAGCCAUCACUUCUAAAAGAAGACACAAACUGAUCGAAUCCAUAGUGUUCCUUAAAGACACUCAUUUGCUAGUCAUAUGUCAAUCCUCACUGCCUCGUGGUGCUGCCCUCCUCUUGUGUGCAAUAAAAUGUUUGCAGCCUUA